UACGUAGGUGGCAAGCGUUGUCCGGAUUUACUGGGCGUAAAGAGCGCGCAGGCGGUCGUUCAAGUCGCGUGUGAAAGCCCCCGGCUCAACUGGGGAGGGUCACGCGAUACUGAUCGACUCGAAGGCAGGAGAGGGUAGUGGAAUUCCCGGUGUAGUGGUGAAAUGCGUAGAUAUCGGGAGGAACACCAGUGGCGAAGGCGACUACCUGGCCUGUUCUUGACGCUGAGGCGCGAAUGCUAGGGGAGCAAACGGG
rnacentral:rRNA from 1 species